CGACGACGACUCGAGAUUACUCAUUCCAUGAUCUCGGGUUCUUGGUAUCACUUCGCCUUCCUCAUGCCUAUGGCUAUGGCGAUUCCCAACAUGAGCCGGCCGUUCACUUCUGUUUGCUUCGUGACGAGCCUUUUGAUCGCCUCGUAGAUCAGAGCCACGGACAUGGCCCACAGACGAAAUCAGUCUUCAAUAGAGAUAUGCAGUAUUUGAUACUCCCUCCGUCCCGGCUUUUGGUAUCCAGUUGAGAACGGCACGGGUUUUAAUAAAGUGAUUGAUGUGUUGUGAGUGGAAUAAGGGUCCCACAUUUUAUGUGAGAGUUAAAAUAAUUAAAGUGGAGUAAGGGCCCCACCUACUUUUACCAAAAAUAGAAAUGGGUACUAAAAUGUGGGACAGCCAAAAAAGGAAAAUUGGAUACUAAGAGCUGGGACGGAGGGAGUAUUUGGGAGGAUGUAUAUAUAUAUAGGGAGGUUUUUAGAGAUGGAGAUGACAACAAACUAAUAUAAUAAAAUUAUUUUUGUAGAGAGGAUGGCAAUAAACUAAUAGUAUAAUAAAAUUAUUUUUGUAGAGAGGAUGACAACAAACUAAUAUUUCAUGAGCCCUAAACUUCAAAAUAAUGGAAAGCUUCAAUUAGGGGCAAAUUUGUCACUUCUCAUUGGGCCAAACCAGAUUUAAUUACAUGAUAUAUAUACAAAGA
rnacentral:lncRNA from 1 species